rnacentral:lncRNA from 1 species
GAAAACCUGCAAUAAAGAAUGCAAGUACUGAACAGAGCCUCAGCCCUGCAAUAUGUAGAAGUUGAUGCCUCCUAAACCUCACAGCUAAACCCAGAAAAAACCAGGUGAAGCCUUGUAAUAAAAUCGCUAGCCAGCCAUGCAGAGGUAGAAUGGUGUUCUCUUCACUCAGCUUCUCUCUCAAAAUCCAGAUUCCCAAUCCCAGAUGAACCAACCCCAAACUACCAUUAAGAAAGGCAGCAGAAUUUAGCAUUGUGGAAAAGCAUAGAGACUGUUGAGGGAAUAAGAUCUUCAUAGCUGAAGCUUUAUAUAUGAAGAUAAAUAAUAAGAAGAACAAGAGGAUGAUGUCAAUAGAAAUGACCAAAAUAUGAUUGAGACAUGAACAUGGACAGAUGAUGGCUAGGAACCUAGAACUGCAUAUCUUUCCAAUUUUACUCAAACACACUGAAUUUCCACAGAAAACAAUCCAGAGACUCUCACCCAUGUUGUAUCUUCUUGCCUUCACAAAAUUGUAGCUGUAAUAAAGUAAAGAAAACAAAGGGUUAUUUAUUAGAUUUUUGGUGUUCUAGACUUGGAAGUAGUAGUAAACAUGAGAACCAACAAUGCAUGCCUAAUAGUUUCAAUUUUCAGUGGAAUUUAGAAGUUAAAUUUAUCAUACAGGACUGAUCUGAACUUAUUUCACAACCCCAGGUGCCUAAGAUCAGGAGAAAGAUUUCAAGAACAACUGAACUGAAAUUGAAGAGAACUGACUGUAGAUAUUGAACAUGAGAAAUUGCAGAAAACAAAUAAGGUGAAUGGGAUCCCAUGGAGAUGAAUGAAAUAUGAAAGCAAAAGGUGAAUGGGAUCCAAUGGAGAUGAAUCAAAUAUGAAAGCAAAAGAAGACGUGAACAGGAUCCAGGUAACUUGUGCAAAACCCCACAUUUCUCUGUUUGAUUGUUGAGAAAAAUGCUGAAAAAUAAAUGAAAGCCUUCGAUCUAAUUAGAAGUAGGGGAUGGAGUGGUAGUUUUAACAUUGCAAAUCUUCUUUUUCUUUUACCACGAGUCUCAGUAACCAAACACAACCCACUGAGAUUCAUUGACCAAACACACUAACAACCUGACUAGGUCUGUUCUCUCGAGCUGAAAGGAUGAACGCAAAAAAACAUAAACCACAAGAUCAAACACCAACCUUAGGAUACGUUGGACUAUGAUGUCAAACCAAAUCAGAUUUUUUUAUUUAAGCUUUCUGGGAAGGGGACUCUUAUAAUGAUAUAGUAGAAAAGCUUGCAGAAAUGAAUAAAGUUGAAUGGAAUGAACUUGUUCCUUUUCUUUCAGUCCUAGCUUGCACCUUUCCAGGUUCCACAUUAAAAGCUAAGUACCCCAUAAUAGAAUCAAUUCAAGGAAAAGAAAGAAGCAAGUCAGACCUCGCAGAAGAUAACGCCAGUGUGGUUUUUCAAUCAUGCACACAAUAUCCAAAUAAUGAAACCUUGAUGCUAACAGACAGCUAAAAUUUCAAUCCAAAUUCCAAAUAUUGAACAAAGACUUGAGCAUUCAAGGUAGAAAACCAGAGCCCAGAAGAGGAAAAUAGUAGAAAAUUAAUGCUCACAAUGCACUGAGUCAGCCCGCCCAAAAGAAAAAGAAGCAUCAGAUCAAUGACCCAAGAAUUCGAAGCAAUUAAUGAAGAAACAAACAGAAAGAUGGAACCGCUUCAGAGAGUAGAAACCAUCUUGUACCAAUUAUAGAAAACACAGAACAUGUGGGUGGAGAAAAUAUCAUGCUGAAGAAGAGCUACAAAAUCCAUAUAGGUAAAAACCAGCAUGGGCCAUCCAGAAUCUCAACAUGCCUCAUCUAAUCAUUCUUUUUUUUUUUUUUGUUUCUUUUCAUUUUUUAAUGAGCAUAGGUCAUUCAGAAUCUCACUCCGUGGCUCCGCCUCAUCAAAUCAUGGGUGUUCUUUUCACCCCCUUCUACACCUCGCUGCUCUGUUUUCUUGCAUGAUAUAUAUGUGUUGUUUCACUGAAAUGACAAAGUGAGUUGUUCUCUUGUUUCGCGAUGUAGUUGUUAGUUGUUAAGAGAGAAGAUUAUCAAGUCUGUGUUAAAGUGCCAGUGAUUUUUUAUUAAAGGGGAAAGGGUUAUAUUAAAAUAUGACAUUAAAACUUCAACUAAUGUAAUAAAUACUAUCAGAAGUCUCUUAGCGCAACCCUACGCCUACUACUUAAUAAUUUAAGUUUUUAAAACGAUUUUCUAAAAAAUCAUUUUCAAAAAAAUUUUAAGGAUUUUUUUUUAAAAAAAUUAAAAUUUUGAAUCAUUUUGAAUCUAUUUUUUACCUUUUCAAAUAUUUCUUAAAAAUAACUUUUAUUUACAAUGUUUUAUUUUAAAGCAUUCUCAUAUUUGUAUAAAUAUUUCUUAAAACAAAUCCCAAAAAUAAUUAAAAAUAUGUUAUAAAAAAUACUAUAACAACCCCAUAAAAGAAUAUUUUAAUAAAUCACCAAACUUGUGUUUUUUGAGUCUGAAAAAUAAUUUUUUAUUUUUAAAAAACAAUUUUUAAACAAGCUUUAAGCUUUUAAGCUGGCAUCAGCUUCUGAAACUAAAGGUUGGUACACAUUAUUAUACAAUUGAUGAAUAACUUAUACUUUUGGUUUAAGUUGUAGCUUAAUAUAUUAUUAGACUCUUGUAUUUCAAAAAUAAAAUAUAUGACAAAACCAGAUGUGGAUCAACUCUUUCUAAUUUUAUAACAUGAAUUCUGAACAAAUCAUUAAUUGAUUUAGUUAAUGAAAUGACGAUUGUUUACCAAACCCCCUAUUUUUGUGUUGGGAAACAUUUUCUAUUUUGAAGUCUACAUACAUAAGGUGAUACGAAUCAAGAGUAUGUUUGGUAGUGAUUCUAAGAAGUGUUUUUAAUAUUUAUAAUACUUGAAAAUUUUCAUUUUUCAAGUAAUAAAUGUUAGAAACACUUCCUAUAAUCACUGUCAAAUGCACUCUAAGUAAUACUUCAAAUGCAUCCACACAUGCUCAGCCCUUAAUUAGUUGAAAAUUUUAAGAUAUUGAUUAUCUUUUCAAAGCUUUCUGUUUUAACCCUUAAUAUAUAUAAUUAAAUUAACUCUUACUCUAUGUUUAAUUCCUUAAAAAAUUUGAGGAAAAAAAAGACUUUUUUUUUUAAAUCAAUGUUGAUCUUCGUGCAAUUUUUGAUGAAGAAAUUAUAGAAAAACAAAAGAAACAUACAGAUUUAAUGUGGUUCAAUGAAUUGCCUACGGGAAUAAAGAAGAAGACUUUCACUAUAUGUCAAAUUAGGAUUACAUAAUAGGAUAUUUAUACUAAUCCUUAACCCCUUGGGGUUAUCCUGCACUUGGAAGAAGAAGUAGAAAAAGGAAUAAAUAUAGCGAUAAUUUGAUUCUUUGCCGCCGUAGUAAGUAGUAAAUAGGAGAGAAAAUAGAAUUUGUUUCUUCGUCUUUACAAAAAAAAAAAAAAUAGGAGUAAUUAACUGUGACAUGUUCACUAAAAAAAAAUCCUUUAAUGAAAUUUCAAAAUUACCCAAUACCCUUGCACCCCCCAACCUAUUAUUUGCCUUUGUCCAUUUUUUUUCAUAUAUGUCUUUCCCUUGAUAUGAGUCACGACAAUUAAUAGAUUAUUUUUAUUUAUUUCUUCAAAUCCAUUUUUUUUAUAUGUAAAAGAUAAAAUAAAUUUAAAAAUAUAAUGGUUUGUUUUAUUUUAAAUUUAUUUGAGUGAUUAAAUUAGGAUAAAAAAUAAUAUAAAAAAAAUAAAAAGAAAGAAAGAAAGAAAGAAAGGUUUCCCCUAAGAAAGUUUUCUGAAAUAAUUUUUGAGUGAAGAGUGUUUCUUUUGUUUUUUUCACACAUUCACUUAGAAAAAUCUCUCUUUUUUAAUAGUAAAGGUAACUUUAUUUUCAAUAAAAAAAUUAUAGUGAAAGGAUUAAAUAAUUCUCAAUUUUAAAAUACUCAUUUUUAAUAAAAAUACCUUUAUCUUUUAAAAGGGAUAUGUGGAUGAGGACAAAUUUUGAAUCAUUUCAUUCCUUUUAAAAAAUUCUUUUAAAUUUGGUUGAAUCUUUUCAACCGUGUGCUAAAUUAAAUUGUGGACCUCGACCUUUCAUAUUCAUCCAUACAUUGAGAAAGACUAUGCCUCCUAUGUCUACCAAUCAAGAUCAUGAUACCACGCAGCUGGAUUUUUUACCAUUCUAACUUUACAAAAUCCUAGACUAAUAAACUUUAGAAAAAUAAAAAAUAGAUAUAGAUUUUAAAAAGUUAAUAAAUUAUUUUGUUUAUGCUACUUUACUUUAAGUUUCUUAUAUAAAAAGUAAAUAAUUUUAAAAUAUAUAAAAUUUUAACUGAUUUUAAUUAUAUUUGAUUUUUUUCACAUUUCUUAUUAUAAAAUGAAAUAUGAGGAAAUCAUCUUUGUUAAUAUUUUUUUUGGGAACCAACCAUAAUAUUUUAAAGUAUAUUAUACUUAAAUCAUUGAAUAAGAAUAUGAACAUUAAAGAAGAAGAUACAAAUGUAUAAAAGGAUUAUGAUAUAAAAUAGUGGGACAAGGUAUAAAAUAAUAAUGUUAAAAUAUUUGGUUUUUGUAGGAUUAUAAAUGAGAUUAGAAAAUAUAUUUUUAGAUGAGAUAUUAUAAUCCCAUGAAUAUAUUUAGUUUGCAUGUGAAGUAGGAUUUUUAAAUCUUAUUUUGGGGACUAGAAAAUAUUAUUAAAAGAACUUAUUUACCUAAUCUCUAAAUGUAGCAAUGAAAUUUACUCAUAUUUGAUUCCAAUAAAGUAUUAAAAAGAGAGAAAACCAACCACAGGGAAAAUAAUUUUUUUUAAAUACAAAAGUAAAUUAAAUAUAAUUAAAGUUAAUUAAAAAAUUAUAGAUUUUUAAAUUAUUUAAUCUUGGCAAGACCAAUAGGCAAAGAACAAUUUUCAAAAAGGCUCUCCAAUAAUACACAAUAAUGCAAGUUAAUUAAAAAUCAAUUUUUUUUAUAAUAAAAUCAAACAUGAAUAAAUAAUUUCUUAUUUUUUUUUUCACUUUCCUUAUAACUUUUGGGGAAUAAAAAAUAGCCUAAAUAUCCAAAUUAUAAAGGGAAAGAAUAGGGGAGAUGUUAAUUAUGACAAAGGCAAUAUUAAUGAUGGUAAGGACAAAGUAUUUCCGCCCCUUACGAGGGAAUAUUUUCUUAGAUACCAAACAUUGACGCUACAAAAUUAUUAAUCUUAUCAUCUUAUGAUGAUCUUUGGGUCCUCUUUAUUUAUUUAUUUUUUAUUUAAAUACUCAGUGCAAAACACAAACUUUGCCUAUUAAUUUUAUUCUUAAUAUAAAAUUAUAAAAAUCAUAUAUAAAAAUAAAAAUUAUUAUGUAUAAGGGUUAUAAAUAAAGAAAACAAAUUACAAUAAAUUAUUAUAUAUUACCUCCCUAUAAAUAAUAUAUUUAUAUAUAAAAAUUAUUAAUUCAAGUUGAAAAUAUCUUGCAUUUAAUUAUUAAAUAUAAUUUAUUUCUUAAAAUAAUUUAGAACGGUUUUAAAACUGUAGGCACCCAUAUUUUUUGGACAUUGAUAUAAAACGGCAUCGUUUCAUGACCGUGACAUUGGUGCAGCCGUACGGGCAAUUUUCUCUUCUCUCUUCAUUUUUUUCUCUUUUUGAAACAAGUCAUCAUAAAACGCAGCGUUUUGUGGCAAGGACUGGAAUCGCAUGCAGUUGAUAAGUCUGCAACCCGCAGUGCACAGGACACUGUCAAAAAGACGCAUAAGGAUCUGCUUUUCUCUUCAGCAGAGAAGACGAAAGCUGUGUGGUAAGUUCUUUCAAUUUUCUUCUCUUUUCCACUCGAUUUUCUUUCUUGAUGAAUUGAACUCAGCUGAUAUGGUCGAAAUAUUCCAUCUUUUCAAAUAUUUUUUGCGCUUUGAAUUCUUUUUCUUUUUUAGAUGUAUGAUUUCUCAAUUUAAUCUAAUAUGUGAAAUUGUAUGAUUUGAAUUCUGUUUGAGAGAUGGAGAAGUUUCUUAUGAGUAGUUGCUUCUUUUUUUAGUAACCUUCCAACUUAGGUCAUUGGGAAUUCUUACGAACAUCGGAAUUGUGAGAUUGAAGCGAAAGCUUUUGUUGGAAAAUCAUCUUUCCUAACAAUCUGAAGAAGACGAUGUUUUGAAAUGCAAAUUUAUUAUUCCUUACUGAUACUAUCUAGUAGGUAGAACAACAAAUCGAAACCCCAAUUCCUCAUACUGAAAAAGCAUACUAUUAGAUUUCAAAACCUGUUUAAGUUUCAGAGCCAAUCUUCGGAGGUGUUUCCGCCAUUUGAAGAGCGAGACCAGUACUCCUUGACAAGCUGGCCAAACAGCGAUCCCUCCUUCUUUAUCAGCUUCAUUGGCUCAUCAUACUCUACCAAUUUUCCUACAGAAGCAGAAGCGCAAGUUAUUUGAAUCGGUUUUACUCAAUUGAUCCCAACUAGAAUGAAAUGUUCCUUCAUAGAAACUUACCAUCGCUGAUAGCAAGCACCAUUGUGCAGUCCAUCACGGUUGGGAUUCUGUGGGCUACUGUUAUUACAGUGCAGUCUGCAAAUUCUGUCCUUAUCGUCUUCUGGAGAAUGGAGUCGGUUGCAUUGUCUAUGGAUGCAGUGGCUUCAUCAAGCACUAGUAUCCGACUUCUCCUCAGUAGAGCACGUCCCAAACAGAAUAAUUGUCGCUGGCCCAUGCUCCAAUUUGAUCCGUCUUGUACAACUGUAGGGGAGAGAUUGUUAGCAAGAGUUUAUGAGUCCAAAGAAUGGUACCUGUGUGUAUUAUGCUUCAUACCUAAGGAGUCCAGACCCUCUUCUUUCUCUUGAACAGCCCCUCGAAGUUGACAUUUUUCCAGAACCUUUCACACAUUCAUGAGAAACAAUCUUAGUGUAGGAUAUAAAGUAAAUUUACCUUAUUAGGAAUCUGUUCUUUUUCAAGGCACUACCACGACAAACAUUUGGUAUGGAAAGAAAAUUAGGAGGUAUUUAACAGCAUUCUAAAAGAUCUUUGGCUUCCAAAACACAGAAUAUCAGGAGCUAGAUCAAGGGAGUUCAAAAUUUAACAGCGUUUAAUUAGUUUGAUAGUAUAGAAACCACCAUGUCUAUGCACUUAAGAGUGAAGCCUGCUUCAUAUCACUGGCAGAAUCUUUUAGGAAUCUGUAUCAUAUCAUGAUUGAAUCCUAAAAUUAGCAACCACAACAAAUUAAUAGGCAACUCACCUCCCAUAUUUCCUCAUCAGUAUGCAGUGAUAAAGGGUCAAGAUUGUAUCUUACAGCUCCGCUAAAAAGAGUUGGUUCUUGUGGAAUGAUCCCAAGACGUGAUCUGAGAUCAUGAAGCCCAAUUGUGGAAAUAUUUAUGCCAUCUAUAAUUAUCUGUCCCUCUGUAGGCUCUACCAAGCGAAACAAAGUGCUGAUAAGUGUUGUCUUUCCACUACCAGUCCGGCCAACAAUCCCAAUUUUCUGUCCUCCUCCAAUUUUGCAACUAAUUCCUUGAAGAACUAGAGGAGCAUUGGGCCGAUACUUAACCUGCUCAAUGUCAUUUCAUCUACCAUAUUAAUAUCUAUAAAUCUUGAAGUUGUAGAAUAGACACAGAUUCCCAAAUUCUUACUGAUUUCACGUUUACCUUCAAAUCAUAAAUUUCCACUUCACCAAUAGCAGGCCAACUGAGUGGUGGUUGAUAGCUCUCUAUGACGGCAGGGGCUUCGCUAGGAAUAUUCAUGAACUGUUCUAAUCUUUCAACAGAAACAAUCAUAUUUGCUAAAAGGCACUGGCUUUGGACAGAAAAUACGAGGAAUAUAUUCACUGAAAGACCAUAUGACAAUGCCAUUCCAAUAAAUCCUGCCAUCAGAACAUUGACAACGAAAAUGCUCGUUAGACAAUAAUUCCAUAAAUGGUUGUCUAUUACUAAGAUUUCUUUAAAUAUCAAAUUGACCAAGUUAUUUUUGAAUAUCAAAUACUGUGCAUGUAGGAAGUUAGUAGAAGGGUUUUUCUAUUAGAUUAUGCACUGAUCUGUUCCUAUGAUUAUUUUGUAAGAAUGGUGGGCUAUUUAGCUCACUUUGUUCUUGAUAUAACCCAAGUUUCUAGUUAUGAUGUUGAGAAAGUUGGAGCUAAAAUGGGUUGAUUAUAGUGAUUUUUUAUUACUACCAACAGGGCAGCUAUUGUUUCAUGAUCUACAAAGCCCUAUCUUGUAUUCGUUUCACUCUACUCAAGGUCAAGUAGGAAACUAAGAUAGGUAACUUUCUGAUUUAAUGUUGGAUAUUUUUAUUGGAUUAUAGGUCAUCACUGAAUUGCCUCUAAAUAUUUCAUCCUUUUGAAGUUCCUUUUUUCCAGUGAGAAAUAUGAAAAUUUAGUGGAGGCCCUUGGUUGUUCAUCUCCUUUUUCCGUUAAAAACAUAUGCUAGCUAGCAAGCAGUCAUAGCAGGCAACAGAAAAUAUUUUUUGUCUUGAGGUUUUGAUCCUUUUGGAGAAUUUAUUAUUUGUGCCCUUAAUCAGACACUUCAUAUUUAUCAUUUUCUGGUUGUAGAUCUUACCUACUGAAAAAUCCUAACAUUAUCCUUUUGUGAGGAUCAAAAUUCACAUGGUCAAUUACUAUUCUCAAAGUUGCACAAGCCCCCUUAGGCUAAACAUGUUAUAAACUUCUAGGAUGUUAAACUGUUGAAAUUGGAGCAAAGAGAGAGUUUUAAGCAACUGCAAUGACAAUUAAGGUUAUGGCAUGGACCUUCUAAUUUAGUGUCCAUUCUCAUUGGUAAUAUAGUUAGCCUCUUUGAGUACAUUCAAGCUAUCUUGGAUUUUGCCUAGUUUGUUCCAUCAAACUAAUGGAUAGUGGAGCAUGCAAAGUUAGGGAUAGGAAGGACCUGUAAUUUCGAUAGUGUCUUGACUUUGCAGUUUGGUACCCUCAUGGAACCCUCUGGGAAAGAAAAAUGAUAAAGAGUAUUUUUGGUGUUUUUCUUUUGGAAAUGGAAAGAAAAAUUGCAGAUCUCUAGAUGAUAUUGGGCAUUUUAGUUCAGGUAAGGCCAGUGAUCUGGGUGGCUUCUAUGGGAAAAAGCUUCAAGUUGCUGCAAGUUAAGAAUGCAAUAGGGUGAGGGGAAGGCUGAAUGUUACAUGGGUAGAAUUCAUAAAAUAGAUCAAAAUCUCACAUGUUGAAUGGUGACUUGUCUUACUAUCAGGUGAAAUGGCUGGAUAGGAUACUUGUAAUUAAACCAAGAUUGUGAUUCAAAUGGUACUUGUAGGGCAAUGAAUUUAUGAUUUGAUCUUAGAGAAUUGAUAGUUAGGAAUGCCCAAGCAAACUAACAAAUUCAAAUGUAAUUGAGCUGUAUAAACUAGUGAGAAACAAUUGUAUAUUUGAGAUGAAAAACACCUACCAGCUUUAGAAGCUCUUGUGUGAAUCAAAGUUAGGGCAAGGGCUGAAGAUGAGAGAACGAUUGCACAUAGUAUUUCAAGGCGUUGGAUCAACCACUCAUUUGCUGUGAAACUGUAGAAGAAUGGACUUGCAUUUAUGUCAAUGAAGCCCAAAUUCUUUGAAAAGUGUCUAUCUUCGUCCCCGAAAGCUCUAAUUGUCAUAGCUCCAGCAAUGGACUCAGAAAGAUGGCUUGCAACAAAAGACUUGGUUGUGCCAUUGAUUCGCAUCAACUCUUUUCCAGCAGCAAAGUAGUACCUCUGGUUGUUAAAAUGAAAACAGACAUGAUCAAUUGCUAAGAAGCGAAGAGAAGCACAAAAUAUCUUACAAGCAAGACCCUAAAUGCUAAAUGAGGAGGGAAGCAGCUGCCUCUGCUACAUCCAUGUAAACAUCAUACAGUAGUGUAUUACCUGGAUGAGUAUACUUAGAUAAAUUGUUGGUAAAAUGACAAACACAAGUUCCCAGGCAAGAAUAGCCAACACUCCAAAACUGGCAUAAGCAUUCAUAGCUGCCCCAACAGCAAAAGUAAAUUUGAAGGCCACAUCAAGGUCAACCACACUCAAAUCAGAAGAUACCUGCAAAAAGGCAAUAAAAAAAUAAGUCUUCUGUUCUUUGCAAUAGGCAUUUAUUUUAAGCAUCUUACCCGACUGAGUAUCCUUCCCAGAGGUGUUGAGUCAUAAAAGGACAUUGGUGCUCGAAAAAGAGAGCUCAGCAGUGUAGAGAAAAUAGAUUGUGAUGCCUCAAGGCCUAAAAGAACAACAAAAAAAGACCGGAGCAACAAAAAGAGUGAUAAGCUUAAUCCGAUCCCUGUGUAAACUGCAAUCAGUUUCAAUUGGCUAACACUAGAAUUCUGGACAUUUGCAGCCAACCAAUAGUUUUGCACCAACUGUCCAACAAUGAAUAUGACAUGAGAUAGAGUUGCCAAAAAGAAGUACAAGAAUCCCUUGCUGUAUUUCAAGUAUUGUAGGUAAGGCUUGAGACCAGUGUCUCCAAUUUCUCUUUCUUCUUUCUUAAUUAACUGCUCUCCUGAUGUGUCUCUCAAUUGUUUCUCGGUGUAAAUCUUCUGUAUCUCUCCCUUUGGAAUUUUAGAUUUCUGGGUAGAAUCUUGCUCAGGUUGCCUCUCAGAACCAACUGUGGCAUUGUGUGCAUUAACAAGGUCCUGGAACUCUUGACUAAAGCGCAUCAGUUGCUCAAAGGUAGCAGCUUGCAGGAUCUCCCCUUCGGACAUUAACUGCCAACAGAAUUAGUCAUUUGGACUGCUUGAUUUAAAAGCAUGUGUUACUCAAGGAUUGCCUUCCAGAUGGUGGAAAUUACUUGUUAAGAAAGGAAAAGAAGUCAAAUGAGAGUUAAAGAAGGACAUCCAAGAAAGUAACUGUACUAACCAGAACCGAAUCAAAUGCUGGAAGGAAGUCCACUUGGUGGGUCACAAGUAUGACCGUCUUCGUUGAUAGAGCUCCCAUGACAUAUUCCUGGCCACAACUGGCAUUAGCAUUCACUCUGAAAGCAAUAACAUUAGUAGCAUAAUUUCUAAAAAAGGAGAACCGUACAUACAUUAAAUAGACUGGUUGCAGUAUGUGCAUCGACCGCACUAAAUGGAUCAUCCAGGAGAUAUACAUCUGCAUCCUGAUAUAAUGCGCGUGCGAGUUGAACCCUCUGCUUCUGUCCACCACUCAGAUUAACACCUCUUUCUCCUAUUUCAGUGAGAUCACCAAAUGGAAGCAUCUCAAGGUCCUUCACUAGGGCACACUUCUCAAUAACCUCUCUGUAUCUGUAAGGAUCCAUAGCAGACCCAAACAGAAUAUUUUCUUGUAUGGUACCUGUUGGAAUCCAUGCUGUCUGAGAGACGUAAGCAAUCUUUCCAUAAACUCGAACCUGGAAAAGAUGGAUCCAGAAUCCGUAUUAAGACAUUUGUCUACGUAAGACUCCUAGAACCUUUCGGGGCUCAUGAAGUUUUCUACCUUCCCCUUUUCCCCCCAUGAUGUUAAUAUCUACCAAAUGAAGUGUGUAUAAAUCAGGAAUGAUGCAUUACUUCUUUCACUUUUUAAGUUUGUUUUCUUUUGUAUUCCUAGUUAGGAAACCCUGAAAGAACAUAAAAAUUCCCUGUGGGUUUGUUGUUAUUCCUCUCAGUACAACUGUGCAUAAAGUAGUUGUUGAGUAUUUAUUCUAGUCCAUGGAUGAGGAAGAAAUGGAAUUGAAAGGGGUACUUACUAUGCCAUUAACGUGUGGAACUUCUCCAAGAACAGCAGCUAAUAGUGUCGAUUUACCUGAGCCAACCUCUCCACAAAUUGCUACCUUUUCCCCAGGCUUAACCACCAAAGUUAUGUUCCUUAGCGUAGCCCUUGUAGUGUUAUCCUCCCAUGAAAUUCUGUUGCUCUUGAUAAAAAUGGAUUCCUCCAGCUCCUUCCCAUCACACAUCUUCCUUACAUGUUUGUUCUGCAGCUCUGGUGCAUCAAGAAACUUUGCAAUCCGAUCUAACGAAACCUUGGCCUCAAUGAAUGCUGAAAUGACAUCAGGGAUUAACCUUAUUGGCUCCUGGGCAAGGCGUAAACUUGCCAUAAAUGUGAAAACAUUGGUAGCAGAGAGAGUAGUUCCAAGAAAGUAGCAUGCCCAGAAAGUAACCGCCGAUACUACAAUGGGAGAGGACCAAAACAGAAUCAGAUUGUACCCUCUCUGUGACAGAACUGAUGAUAACCACUUGAAUUCCUCUUUCCUCAACCCUUCUAUGACAUUCUUGAAAUGAGUCUCCCAAGCAUACAGCUUCAGAAUUUUCAUGUUUGUAAGUGCCUCUGUGAAAGUCUUCAGCCUCUUGUCCUGAGUUCCCAUGAGCAUUUUCUGGUACUUGUGUUGUAACUUUCCCAUAGGAGAGUUUGUAACUACAGUCAAUAUUACUACAGACAGAGCUGCUAUAGUUGCAAGCCCCACCGAGUAGUAAAUAAUAAGCAAUGCCAGACACAACUGGAGGCUUGUUGACCAUAUCUGGUGAAACCAGUACGGGUAUUCACCUAUUUUGUAAGCAUCAAUGGUAACAAAGUUAAUGAUCUGACCAGGGGAAUACGACCCCUUUGCAGCAUUUGAGAGCUUAAGCUGCUUCUGAUAGAUGGCUGCAGAUAGAAAUGAUCUCACUUGGAGCCCAAUCAAUCUAGUUCGAAAGAACCAUUGCCUCUCUGAUAACGAUUCUAAGCAUUUAGUAAGGAAGAGCCCUCCUGUCAGUGCAUAACCUUCAUACUCAAAAGCUUCUUUGCCUUCAGCAACCAGGAUGAAGGCUCUAAGAAACAGAGGGCCAGUAGAAAGUGUCAGUACCUUGAUCAAUGCAUAAAAGCCAGAAAACAAAAUUUGUUUCCACUGCCACAACAAUAUAGUUGACAAAAUGGAAGGAGAGUGAGAUGACCGCUUGUUUUUCUGCUUGUUCUGCUGUUCCAUGAACAUUGAGUAACACAUUUCCGCUCGAUCUUCCCUUCUUAGCUGUGGAAUGUCUUUGUCCUCAAGUGUUUUCUCCUUACCCUUCUUGAUCAACGAAUUCAACCACCAAAAUGACAGUCUACUAAUAAGCCCGGCUUUCUGAAAAGGAGGUAAGCUGGCAUCUGAAUUGAUUUUAUCACCACCACUGCCUCCUUCACCAGGCAACGGUGUAUAGAAGCCAGCACCAUCAAUUUCUGAAUCAGUUCCUGCAUAUUUCGGUCCUGAAAAAGUGGAGAACAUCGAUAGAAUUGCUCCAGGAAAAGAUAUAACAUCUAAAAUCAUCUUGACUGAUACUGCAUCGCUCACAAUAGCUUCCCAGAAAGAUGUAACACAGAGAAAACCUGCAAUAAAGAAUGCAAGUACUGAACAGAGCUUCAGCCCUGCAAUAUGUAGAACUUGAUGCCUCCUAAACCUCACAGCUAAACCCAGAAAAAACCAGGCGAAGCCUUGUAAUAAAUUCACUAGCCAGCCAUGCAGAGGUAGAAUGGUGUUCUCUUCAAUCAGCUUCUCUCCCAAAAUCCAGAUCCCCAAACCCAGAUAAACAAACCCCAAACUACCAUUAAGAAAGGCUGCAGAAUUUAGCGUUGUGGAAAAGCAUAGAGACCGUUGAGGGGAUAAUAUCUUCAAAGCUGAUGCUUUAUAUAUGAAGAUAAAUAAUAAUAAGAACAAGAGGAUGAUGUCUACAGAAAUGACCAAAAUAUGAUUGAGACAUGAACAUGGACAGAUGAUGGCUAGGAACCCAGAACUGCUUAUCUUUCCAAUUUUACUUGAACACCCGGUACUUCCACAGAAAACAGUCCAGAGACUCUCACCCAUGUUGUAUCUUCUUGCCUGCACAAAACUGUGGCUGUAAUAAAAUAAAAAAAAUAAAAAAAAGAAACAAAAAGCAAAGGGUUAUUUAUUAGAUUUUUGGCGUUUUAGAGUUGGAAGUAGUACUAAACAUGAGAACCAUCAAUGCGUGCCUAAUAGUUUCAGUUCUCAGUGGAACUUAAAAGUUAAAUUUAUCAUACAGGACUGAUCUGAACUUAAUUCACAACCCCAGGUGCCUAAGAUCAGGAGAAAGAAUCCAAGAACAACUGAACUGAGAUUGAAGAGAACUGACCAUAGACAGAGAACAUGAGAAAUUGCAGAAAACAGAUAGGGAGAAUGGGAUCCAAUGGAAAUGAAUCAAACAUGAAAGCAGAAGAUGUGAACAAGAUUCAGGAAACGUAUGCAAAACCCCCCAUUUCUCUGUUUCGUUGUUGAGAAAGAUACUGGAAAAUAAAUGUAAACCUUGAAUCUCAUAACAAGUAAGGGAUGGAGUGGUAGCCUUAAGAUUGCAAAACUUCUUUUCUUAUACCAUGAGUCUCAGUAACCAAACACAACCCACUGAGAUUCCUUGACCAAGCACAGUCUAGGCCUAUUUUCUCAAGCUGAAAGGAUGAGCACAAAAAAACAGGAACAAGAAGAUGAGGCAGUUACCUUAGGAUACGUUGGACAAUGAUGUAAAACCAAACCACAUCUUUUUAUUUAAGCUUUCUGGAAAGGGGACAGGAAUAAUUAUAUAGUAGAAAAGCUUGCAGAAAUAAAUAGAAUCGAAUGGAAAGAAAUUGUUCCUUUUCUUUCGGUCCUAGCUUACACUUUUCCAGGUUCCCAUAAUAAUAGCUAAAGGACCCCUUGAUAGGAUCAAUUCAAGAAAAAGAUGGGAAAAAAAGAAAAGAAGAAAAACAGAGCCCAGAAGAGGAAAAUAGUAGAAAAUUAAUGCUCACAAUGCACUGAGUCAGCCCAACAGAAAAAGAAGUUUUAUAUGAAGGACCCAAGAAUUCAAAGCAAUUAAUGAGGAAACAAACAGAAUGAUGGAGCAACUUCAGAGAGUGAAAACCAUCUUGAACCAAUUAUAGAAUGCACAGAACAUGGGGGUGGUCAAAAUGUUAUGCUGAAGAAGAGAUACAAAAUUCAUAUGGGUAAAAACCAGCAUAGGCCAUCCAGUAUCUCACCAUGCGUCAUCAAAUCAGUCUGCCCUUUUUUUUUCCUUUUUUUUAUUAUUAUUUUUUUAUUUUUAUACGAGCAUAGGUCAUUCAUAGUCUUCUCCGUCUCAUCAAAUCAUGGUGUAGUUUUCACCUUCUACACCUCACUACUGUCUUUUCUUGCAUUAUAAAUGUGUUGUUUCACUGAAAUGACUAAUUGAGUUGUUCUCACGUGUUAGAGUUUUGAGGAAACUUGUGUUUUCAUGACGGUAAAUAUAUGAUUUGAUAACCACAUUUUAAUAUGGAAAGUAAUAUUACCCUUUCACUCUAAGCCCACUCCAUUUUUUAUGUCAAAAUUACGUAUAAAAAAAAAAUUAGGUUAUAGGCGACAGCGAUGGAGUGAUGUGGAGCUGUGACGACCUUGGCACCUUCGGAUUUUUCUUCCACGGGAGCAUCCAAGCCUCCAUGUCCAGAGAUGGGUUUAGCUUCAAUGGUAACGGGGCCGAUGGAUUGAGCGGCAAUGGUUGAAGGAAAAGAAAAAUUCGGAGGUGCCAACAAUUCUAGUUUGAUAUUCAAUUUUUUUUUAACAAAGUUAAAUACAAUAAUGUAAAUUAAUUAAAAACUAAAUAAUUUUUUUUUGAAAAAAAACUUAAAUUACAAAUUCCAAUAUGUUUCCUUUUAAGCAAAAUCGAAAGAUUAAAAAUGGUUUUUAAUUUGUUAACAUUUAUCACAUGGGAUCAUAAAAUGACAGUUUUUUAAGUUCCUUGAUGUAUUCUCAUGAUACCUAAGUUCUUGAUGUAUUCUCAUGAUACACGAAUUUCAUUUGGCAUAACUCAUAAUUUAUGGUAAGCAAAUGCCCACUAUAUGUUAUUUGAGUUUUAUCUUUAUUGGGUUUGAUAUAAAUUAAGGUAAUGUUUAUUUUUUGAUUAAAUAGAAAAAAUCAACAUAUUUGACUUUUUCUAUUUAGCUAAAAGUACAUUGUUGAUAUUAAUCAACUUAACUAAAAUGAAUUUGUUAUCAAAUCUUAAUGUUGUUUGGGUUUUAAUAUGACUUAGAUCUUAAUGUGACUCGGGUUUUAACAUAACUCAAGUUUAAAUGACUUGAUCUUAAUUAAAAAAUAUCUUUUUUUUUUGUUUUGAAUGUCUUGACAAUUCAAAAAGCUUUAUAAGAAUCGAAGAUUCUAUCAUGUCUUAUUAAAAAAAAAAAGAAUCUUUGCAAUUUCAAAUAUUUCCUAUUGGAAUAAUUUAGUGACAACUGAAUAUAUUCUUAGACUCUUGUACUUCCAAAAAAGAAAAACAUGAUAAAAAGAGUUGUAGGUUAACUCAUUCUAAUUUUAUAACAUAAAUUCUAAAUAAAUCAUUAAUUGGUUUAAUUAAUAAAAGGAUGAUUGUUAGCGUCAAUACCACCAAACUUCAUAUCUUUGUGUAAUCAUAGCAAUCAUAGAAAACAUUUUCUAAGAUGACGUCUUUACGUUCAGUAAUACAAAUUGAGCAACACUUCAAACACAUACACAUUUACUCUCUUAAUUACUGGUAUAAAAAAAUUCCUUUGGGUGUGGCUUUUUUUUUCUUCUUUAAAGGACAAAAGAAAAAGCCCUAUUUACUUUUGUACAUUCACUUUAGAAGGUUGUAAGAAAUAAUUGUAGACCGAAACAGCUUUUCUUUCUCCUUUUUUAUUAUUAUUUUUUUAUAUUUUUUUUAUUAAAUGACUAAAGAAAAAGCCCUAUUUACUUUUGUACAUUCACUUUAGAAGGUGAGUUUAAGUAUAAAAUAAUUCAUUUGUUGAAAAAAAAUGGUAAGAAUAGUAAUCACCUUAAAAUAUUUGUCAAACUAAUCUUUUGUAUGCAUGUGAGCAUCCACAUAAUUUUUUUUUUUAAGUGUAAAAAACCACCGUUGGUAAUUGUGGUUUUAAAAGUUUUAAAAAUAUCUUUAAAAUCACAAUUUGUAAUUGUGGUUUUACAAUUUUUCUUAAAAUUACAGUUAGUAAUUGUGGUUUCAAAAUUAUUUUUAAUCUACGCUCGUUUUAAUAGUAUUGUGAUUUUAAUAUUAUUUUUAAAAUAUUCUUUAUCAUAAUAACCAUAAAAAAUAUUUUUUGUCAUAAUAACCAUAAAACCACGGUUAAUAACUGUGGUUUUAAAAAUAUCAUAAAAACCAUAGUCAUAGACAGUGGUUUUACAAUUUUAUUUGUGAUUGUGGUUUUAUAAUUUUCUUUAAAACCAUAGUUAGAAGGGUACUCAUGUAACUAUAACUAAAAAAAAAAAAAAAAGAUUUUAGAACUUUGUUUUUUUAUUUUUAAUUUUAGUAUAAAUUAUGGAUGUACCAAAAUUUCUUAACGAUGAACCAAAUUUCCUUAAAGUUCGUUUCGGAGUGGGGAAAAUUUCUUACAAUUAUCCAUUGUCAAUUUAAAAUUAUUUUUUUGUACAAAUUAUCCUUAAUAAAUUUUUUCAUUACGAAUGUUUUAAAAUUAUAUAUAUAUAUAUAUAUUUAUCUUUAUUUUUCAUAUUUUUCUUGAAAUUUUGAGAAAAUAAUUUGGCCUACAUGCAUUCCCAUAAAAAAUUAUAUAUUUAUGUUAAAUAAAAUAUUUAUUUAAGGAAAUUUGUAAAAAAUAAACUUUAAGAAAAUUUGGUAUAUCGUUAAGAAAAACCUUCAUAAUUUAUACUAAAAUUUAAAAAAAAAAAAACAAAGUUCUAAAAUUUUAUAUUUCUUUUUUAGUUAUGAUUACAUGAGUCACCUUCUAACUGUGGUUUUAAAGAAAAUUGUAAAACCAUAAUCACAAAGAAAACUAUAAAACCAUCGUCUAUGAUUGUGGUUUUUAUGAUAUUUUUAAAUCCAUAGUUACUAACUGUGGUUUAAUGGUUAUUAUGACAAAAAAUAUUUUUUUAUGGUUAUUAUGAUAAAUAAUAUUAAAAUCACAAUCCUAUUAAAACGGGUGUUAAUUAAAAGUAAUUUUGAAACCACAAUUACUAACCGUGGCUUUAAAGAAAAUUGUAAGACACACGGUCUAUAAUUGUGGUUCAAAUAUAUUUUUGAAACUUUUAAAACUACAUUUAUCAAUAGUGGUUUUUUACAUUUAAAAAAGAAAAAUUAUAUGGAUAUAAAAAAUUAAUUUGGUAAAUAUUUUGUGGAUACAAAAGAUUAAUUUGACAAUUAUUAUGAGAUGAGUGUUAUUCUUAUCAUUGUUUUCAACAAAUGGAUUAUUUUGGACUCAAACUGUUAGAAGGUUGUAAUGAAUGAUUGUUGACUGAAACAGCUUUUCCUUUUUCCUUUUCAUCUCCUAAAUGGUCAAAGUGACUUUUAUCUUGAGGCAAAAGUCUCAUCUUUUUCCUCCAUGUGUUAUAUCAAAUUGGGGACCUCAACUUUCCAUAUUCAGUCUCAGAGGUCAUGAUACCAGUUUGGAAAAGCUCCAUUCUGCUAACCUUACACUCUCUUAUCCUAAUCAUAUGCAUUUUGUUCUUAUAUCAAAACCUUGGUCCCACGUCAUGUGUAUAACAAAUGAAUAGAUAAAUCUAAUAUUAUUUUCGAAGGAAUAUUGUUGAUUUUAAAUUAAGAUGGUGUUUAUUUUUUGAUUAAAUAUAAAAAAUCGAAAUAUUUAAUUUUUUCUAUUCAGUUAAAAGUAUUUUAUUGAUAUUAACCAAUUUAAUUAAAAUGAAUUUAUUAUCAAGUCUUAAUGUUGUUUGGACUUUAAUGCGACUUAGGUUUUAAUGUGACUCGAGUUUUAGCAUAACUCAAAUUUAAAUGGCUUGAUGUUAAUUAAAAAAGACCUUUUUUUUUUUUUUUUUUUAAUGUCUUGACAAUUCAAAAAGCUUCAUAAAAAUUGAAGAUUCUAUCAUAAGUCUUAUUAAAAAAAAAAAAAAUCUUUGCAAUUUCAAAUAUUUCCUACUGGAAUAAUUUAGUGACAGCUGAAUAUAUUGUUAGACUCUUGUACUUCCAAAAAAGAAAAACAUGAUAAAAAAAGAUGUAGGUUAACUCAUUCUAAUUUUAUAACAUAAAUUCUAAAUAAAUCAUUAAUUGGUUUAAUUAUUAAAAGGAUGAUUGUUAGCGUCAAUACCACCAAACUUCAUAUCUUUGUGUAAUCAUCGCAAUCAUAGAAAACAUUUUUUAAGAUGACGUCUUUCCAUCCCGUAAUACAAAUUAAAUUAAAUUCUGAAAAUUUUGAAAAAGAAAAUGAAAUAAAGAAGGAAAAAAUAAUGAAAAUUUUAAAAGUAGAUCUUAAAAUAAUAAGUUAUUUUUACUUGUUUCUUCACACUCAUUUAAUUUAUUUAUUUUUAUAUACAAAUUAAAUAAUUUAUAAAAAUGUAUAACACGUGACAUUUGUUAUGUUCCUUCUUAAAGGACAAAAGAAAAAGCCCUAUUUACUUUUAUGCAUUCACUUUAGAAGGCUGUAAGAAAUGAUUGUCGACUGAAACAGCUUUUCUUUCUCCUUUUUAAUUAUUUUUUAUUAUAUUUUUUUAUUAAAUGACUAAAGAAAAAGCCCUAUUUACUUUUGUACAUUCACUUUAGAAGGUUGUAAUGAAUGAUUGUUGACUGAAACAGCUUUUCUUUUUCCUUUUCGUCUCCUGAAUGGUCAAAGUGACCUUUAUCUUGAGGCAAAAGUCUCAUCUUUUCAUUUGGCUCCAUCUUUUUCCUCCACGUGUGAUAUUGAAUUGGGGACCUCCACUUUCUAUAUUCAUAGAUACCAGGCUGGAAAAGCUCCAUUCUCUUAUCCUAACCAUAUGCAUUUUUGUUCUUAUAUUUUAUAUAAAAAUUAUUAUUAUUAUUAUUAUUAUUAUUAUUAUUGUUUUUAAAAACAAAAAAUACAAGUCUAUACAAACAACACCUAACUCCUAACUCUUGGCUAGGAGUUGAGUUUUUAACUCGAUUAAACCUAAGAGAUAUCAGGGAUAGAUACUAUAAAUAACUAAUCAAAAUAAUUAAUUAAAAUAAUAUGCAAUGAGCAUAAGAUUUUUACGUGAAAAACCCUCACAUAAAUUGUGAAGAUAAAAAAAAUUAUGGGUUUGGGACCUCUAAUCUAAAUCCAUUAUUCGGGAUUAAGUUACAUAAAUUUACCUAACUAUUUACCCUAAGACAGUCCAUAACCUACAACUUGAUCCACAUUCGCGAUGUAGUAAUCUCCAAUUGCUCCUAGUGAAUACGCUUCAACCUUGCUAAAGGGAUGUUGGUCUUUAAACAAUCCAAGAUUCAAUACUUUGAAUAUUUGAUGAGAGAUUGGGAAUAGUGUGACAAGGUAGACUUAAUCCCUUGGUGAAUCUCUAACCCUUAAAGGGUUAUAAUGGGGUUUAUAUAUGCAUCCAAGCCCUAGGGGAUUGGUAUCCCAAAGUUUUCAAACUCAAUUUAUGUGAAAUAUUCGAAAAUAUUAUGUCAUAUUUUGGCAUAUUCUAUUUAGGUGCUUGAGCGGUCCCAACGCUUUAGCGCUCUUUCCACUACUCGAGUGGUCCAACUUUUUUCAAAAUGAAUUAAUUUAAACUUUUUAAUUUCUAAAAAAUAUACCAAACAACUUUUAACCCAAAUAACACUUAACUUGUCACAUGUCAAACUUUUUUAGACUUACUUGUGACCUUUUAAUAGAACGAAGAGCAACCUUGAAUCUUUAAUGAAGAGUAAGUCACCAUUUAAAAAGAUUCCUAAGCUAGAAAAUAGAUUGGAACAAAAUUGCCAACAUACGAUGAAAACUCAUUGUCUUAACAUGUACUAAUUGGUUUUUAAAUAAAAUGAUCAAAGCUUAAUCUAAGAAUUAGUAUCAAAACCAAGGUUAUAGCUCGAAUCAUAGGGGCAUCAUGUUUUGAUUUGGGAUGAAUCACCCAAACGAAAAUAAUCCCUCUAUUGAAAGGAUUUUGAGGCACUGGCCAAAAAACCAAGGCCGCUGAACCCAGCUCAGCCUGUCCAGGUCUGAGGCAUGGGCUUCUAGCAGGCCAAAUUUGGACUGUGGAGCCAUCUAUCUUGUGGCUGGCGAUAGACUGUGUGGCAGCAUGUUCUGAGGAUGGUGGGCUAAAGUAAGAAACAAAUUCAAUGGAGAGAAUAACCUAGGUAGUCCUUCAGAAAACUAUUUUCCAUCUCCUCUACUUCCGGAAGGAAGUCACUGAGGGAGCAUGGAAAUGGAUCUGGAGAUUAAAUAAAACUUGAUAAUAGUUUUGUAGAGCUCUACAUUAAGAUGAGAAAUGACCCUAGGAAUGAUCCCAACAAAGGUAGAACACACCUUAGAUGUGAACGAAGUUAACAAACCAUGAAUUCAGAACAUAAAAGAUUAGAAGGUCCUCCCUGUAAUAAUCCAGGAGAGACAGCCAAGAUACUAAGAAACUACAAGAAGCGGUAUCAAUUCUGUGCGCAAAAUAACUUUAGGAUCCAGUCAUCCAAGGUAAUGAAAGAAAGAAAGAAAAGAAAGGGAAAAAAAACCCGGCAAGUUGUGUGCAAAGUUCAGACUGAUGUUGCAAAACAAGACCAACAUGCUAUCUAUCAUAACCAUGACCGGUGGAGGAGUGUUGAGAUACUUGGCUUUAGAUGAAUCAUUUAAUAUUUUUAUUUAAAUAAAUAGAGCGUUUUUCUAUGCAGCAACUGACAGAACUCAAAAGCUAAUAACAGCUUCGGUAACUGAAGCAAAUAAAGGAGAAGGCAAGAGAAUAGGAAGUACACAAACAAGCAACUGGACGAUAGAUGCUACGGUCCAUGACCACUCUUUAAACAAGAGAUUACCAAUAAAACAGGAGCUAAAAACCAUAACAAUCCAGCCCAUCAUGCAGCAACCUCUCCAAAGAUUGUUGAAUGCAAUAACUGAUGGAUAUAUAAGGAAUGCAGAUGGAGCCAGCAGUUAUGGAAAUUUCUCCUUAAAUAAAAUUACCAGAAGGGACCAUGGGCAUGAAUGAUGGCUAGGAGCAGGUAGAAGAUAGACUUGAUGAUCAACUAUUAUUUCAGGUGGAUAAACAUUUGCUUUUUCUGCAUACUCAUUCUUUGCUGAAUCCAAGAUAAAUUCCACCAAAUGCAAGUCAUCUUUCCGACAACGCAAUAAGACAGCAGGUUCCUUCAAUCUGAGUAAAUUCUGCGACACAUAUUGUUAGACUUAUACGUACUAUAUCAAAGGACACAAGACAAUGACUAAAUAUUUUUAUCCUUAUGUCAUGCCAAAACUUGCUAUGAAUUAGAAAAGUUAAAGCUCAUGUUUCGACAUCCUAUGGGGAUUGUAUCAAGCCACUUGUGGUCCACAGCAUUGGGGAGCAACAAACCAAUUAGAGAAAUUGAGCUAUUCCCACAAAUUAUUUAAUGUGAGUUCAGGCUUUCGGGUAGAACUUCAAGAUCUUGGGGGAAAACAUUUAAAAAUGCAAGUCUCAUUGGAGCUCCCCUUUAAAGAAUUUUUAAAAAAUGUACGAGUCCCAGGUGUACAUGAUCUAUGCAGCGAAGGAAAGAAAUUCCAUCCAUUUAUGAAUGUUGAAGCACGUUAGCCAUACCCACAACAAUAUGAUUCUGAUGACGAAGUUAUACCAAAUAAAAUUUUGCCAAAUCAGCUGAGUUUAUACUGACCUGAACCAUAAGAUCUUUCAGAAGCCUUUUAUAGACAUUGUGAUCAUGUCCAGAGACGAUGUUUUGAAAUGCAAUUCAUUGUUGCAUACUGAUACUAUCCACUAGGCAGAACAACAAACCGAAACCCCAAUUCCUCAUAGUGCAAAAACAUACUACUAGCUUUCAAAACCUGUUUAAGUUUCAGAGCCAAUCUCCUGAGGCAUUACUUCCAUUUGAAGAGCGAGACCAGUACUCCUUGACAAGCUGCCCAAACAGUGAUCCCUCCUCCUUUAUCAGCUUCAUCGGCUCAUCGUACUCUACCAAUUUUCCUAUAGAAGCAAAAGCGGUAGUUAUUCAAAUAGGUUUUGCUAUAUUGAUCCCAAUUCCCAACUAGAAUGAAAUGUUCCUUCAUAGAACUCACCAUCACUGAUAGCAAGCACCAUUGUGCAGUCCAUCACGGUUGGGAUUCUGUGGGCUACUGUAAUUACAGUGCAGUCUGCAAAUUCUGUUCUUAUGGUCUUCUGGAGAAUGGAGUCGGUUGCAUUGUCUAUGGAUGCAGUGGCUUCAUCAAGCACUAGUAUCCGACUUCUCCUCAGUAGAGCACGUCCCAAGCAGAAUAAUUGUCGCUGGCCCAUGCUCCAAUUUGAUCCGUCUUGUACAACUGUGGGGGAGACAGAUUGUUAGCAAGAGUUUUCGAGUCCAAAGAAUAGUACCUGUGUGUAUUAUGCUUCAUACCCAAGGAGUCCAGACCCUCUUCUUUCUCUUGAACAGCCCCUCGAAGUUGACAUUUUUCCAGAACCUUUCACAAAUUCAUGAGAAACAAUCUUAGUCUAGGAUAUAAAGUAAAUUUACCUUAUUAGGAAUCUGUUCUUUUUUAAGGCACUACCAUGACAAAUAUUUGGUAUGGAAAGAAAAUUAGGAGGCAUUUAAACGCAUUCUAAAACAUCUUCGUGUUCCAAAACACAGAAUAUCAGGAGCUCGAUUAAUGACAAUGGAAUUCAAAAUCUGACACUUUUUUAAUUAGUUUGAUACAGUAGAAACUGCCAUCUCUAUGCACUUAAGAGUGAAGCCUGCUUCAUAUCACUGGCAGAAUCUUUUAGAAAUCUGUAUCAUAUCAUUGAUUGAAUCUUAAAAUUAGCAACCACAACAAAUUAAUAGGAAACUCACCACCCAUAUUUCCUCAUCAGUAUGCAGUGAUAAGGGGUCAAGAUUGUAUCUUACAGACCCACUAAAGAGAGUUGGUUCUUGCGGAAUGAUCCCAAGACGUGAUCUGAGAUCAUGAAGCCCAAUUGUGGCAAUAUCUAUGCCAUCUAUAAUUAUCUGUCCCUCUGUAGGCUCUACCAAGCGAAACAAAAUGCUGAUAAGUGUUGUCUUUCCACUACCAGUCCGGCCAACGAUCCCAAUUUUCUGUCCUCCUCCAAAUUUGCAACUAAUUCCAUGAAGAACUAGAGGAGCAUUGGGCCGAUACUUGACCUGCUCAAUGUCAUGUCAUCUACUAUAUUAAUCUCUAUAAGUCUUGAAGUUGUAGAACACACACAGAUACUCAAAUUCUUACUGAUUUCACAUUUACCUUCAAAUCAUAAAUUUCCACUUCACCAAUAGUAGGCCAACUGACUGGUGGUCGAUUACUCUCUAUGACUUCAGGGGCUUCGCUAGGAAUAUUCGUGUACUGUUCUAAUCUUUCAACAGAAACAAUCAUAUUUGCUAAAUGGCACUGGUUUUGGACAGAAAACACAAGGAAUACAUUCGCUGAAAGACCAUAAGACAAUGCCAUUCCAAUAAAUCCUGCCAUCAGAACAUUGGCAACGUAAAUGCUCAUUAGACAAUAAUUCCAUAAAUGGUUGUCAAUUACUAAGAUUUCUUUAAAUAUCACAUUGACCAGGUUAUUUUUUAAUAUCAAAUACCGUGCAUGUAGGAAGUUAGUAGAAGGGUUUUUCUUUUGGAUUAUACACUGAUCUGUUUGUAUGAUUAUUGUGUAAGAAUCAUGGACUUGUUAGCUCACUUUGUUCUUGAUAUAACCUGAGUUUCUAGUUAUGAUGUUGAGAAAGUUGGAGCUAAAAUGGGUUGAUUAUAGUGAAUUUUUAUUACUACCAACUGGGCAGCUGUUGUUACGCGAUCUACAAAGCCCUAUCUUGUAUUCAUUUCACUCUACCCAAGGUCAAGUAGGAAACUAUUAUAGUUAACUUUCCUAUUUAAUGUUGGAUAUUUUUAUUGGAUUUUAGGUCAUCACUGAAUUGCCUCUAAUUAUUUCAUCCUUUUGAGGUUCCUUCUUUUCAGUGAGAAAUAUGAAAAUUUAGUGGAGGCCCUCGGUUGCUCAUCUCCUUUUUCAGUUAAAAGCAUAUGCUAGCUAGCAAGCAGUCAUGGCAGGCAACAGAAAAGUUUUUUUUUUUAUCUUAAAGUUCUGGUCCUUUUAGAGAAUUUACUAUUUGUGCCCUUAAUCAUACACUUCAUAUUUAUCAUUUUCCGGCUGUAGAUCUUACCUAUUGAAAAAUCCUAAUGGUAUCCUCUUGUAAGGAUCAAAAUUCACAUGGUCAAUUACUAUUCUAAAAGUUGCAUAGCCCCCUUAGGUUAAACAUGUUAUAAACUUCUAGGGAGUUAAACUGUUGAAAUUGGAGCAAAGAGAGAGUUUUAAGCAACUGCAAUGACAAUGAAGAUUCUGGCAUGGACCUUCUAAUUUCGCGUCCAUUCUCAUUGGUCAAGCCUCUUGAGUAAUUCAAGCUAUCUUGGAUUUCGCCCAGUUUGUUGCAUCAACUAAUGGAUAGUUGAGUAUGCAAAGUUAGGGACAGGAAGGACCUAUAAUUUCGAUGGUGUCUUGACUUUACAGUUUGGUACCCUCAUGGAAUCCUUUGGGAAAGAAAAAGAUACAGAGUACUUUUGGUGUUUUUCUUUUGGAGAUGGAAAGUUUUGUUAUUGGCAUUCACAAAUGGGGUAAAAUUGCAGAUCUCUAGAUGAUAUUGGGCAUGCUAGUUUUGGUAAGGCCAGUGAUGCAGGUGGCUACUAUGAGAUAAAACUUCAAGUUGCUGCAAGUUAAAAAUGCAAUAGGGGGAGGGGAAGGUUGAAUAUAAAAUAGGUGGAAUUCAUAAGAUAGAUCAAAAUAUCACAUAUUAAAUGGUGACUUGUCUUACUAUUAGGCAAAAUGGCUGGAUAGGAUCCUUGUAAUUAAACCAAGGUUGUGAUUCAAAUGGUACUUCUAGGGGAACAAAUUUACGAUUUGAUCUUAGAGAAUUGACAGUUAGAAAUGUUCAAGCAAACUAACAAAUUCAAAUGUAAUAGGGCUGUGUAAACUAGUGAGAAACAAUUGUAUAUUUGAGAUGAAAAACACCUACCAGAUUUAGAAGUACUCGUAUGAAGCAAAGUUAGGGCAAGGCCUGAAGAUGAGAGAACGAUUGCAGAUAGUAUUUCAAGGCGUAGGAUCAACCACUCAUUUGCUGUGAAACUAUAGAAGAAUGGACUUGCAUUCAUGUCAAUGAAGCCCAAAUUCUUUGAAAAGUGUCUAUCUUCCUCCCCGAAAGCUCUAAUUGUCAUAGCUCCAGCAAUGGACUCAGAAAGAUGGCUUGCAACAAAGGACUUAGUCGUGCCAUUGAUUCGCAUCAACUCUUUUCCAGCAGCAAAGUAGUACCUCUGGUUGUUAAAAUGAAAACAGACAUGAUCAAUUGCUGAGAGGCCAAGAGAAGUACAAAAUAUCUUACAAGGAAGACACGCCUAAAUGAGGAGGGAAGCAGCUGCCUCUACUACAUCUAAGAAAACAUCAGACAGCAGUGUAUUACCUGGAUGAGUAUACUUAGAUAAAUUGUUGGUAAAAUGACAAACACAAGUUCCCAGGCAAGAAUAGUCAAUACUCCAAAAUUGGCAUAAGCAUUCAUAGUUGUCCCGACAGCAACAGUAAAUUUGAAGGCCACAUCAAGGUCAACCACACUCAAAUCAGAAGAUACCUACAAAAAGCAAUAAAAAAAAUAAGUGUUUUGUUCUUUGUAGUAAGCAUUUAUUUUAAGCAUCUUACCCGACUGAGUAUCCUUCCCAGAGGUGUUGAGUCAUAAAAGGACAUUGGUGCUCGAAAAAGAGAGCUCAGCAGUGUAGAAAAUAUAGAUUGUGAUGCCCCAAGGCCUAAAAGAACAACAAAAAAAGAACGGAGCAAUAAAAAGAGUGAUAAGCUUAAUCCGAUCCCUGUGUAUACUGUAAUCAGUUUCAAUUGGCUAACACUAGAAUUGUGGAUAUUUGCAGCCAACCAAUAGUUUUGCACCAACUGCUCAACAAUGAAUGUGAUAUGAGAUAGAGUUGCCAAAAAGAAGUACAAGAAUCCCUUGCUGUAUUUCAAGUAUUGUAGGUAAGGCUUGAGACCGGUGUCUCCUGUUUCUCUUUCUUCUUUCUUAAUUAAUUGCUCUCCUGAUGUUUCUCUUAAUUGUUUUUCGGUGUAAAUCUUCUGUAUCUCUCCCUUCUGAAUUUUAGAUUUCUGGGUAGAAUCAUGCUCAGGUUGCCUCUCAGAACGAACUGUGGCAUUGUGUGCAUUGACAAGGUCCUGGAACUCUUGACUAGAGUGCAUCAGUUGCUCAAAGGUAGCAGCUUGCAGGAUCUCCCCUUCGGACAUUAACUGCCAACAGAAUUAGUCAUUUGGACUGCUUGAUUUAAAAGCAUGUGUUACUCAAGGAUUGCCUUCCAGAUGAUGGAAAUUAUUUGUUAAGAAAGGAAAAUGAAGUCAAAUGAGAGUUAAAGAACGAUAUCCAAGAAAGUAACUGUACUAACCAGAACCGAAUCAAAUGCAGGAAGGAAGUCCACCUGGUGGGUCACAAGUAUGACCGUCUUCGUUGAUAGAGCUCCCAUGACAUAUUCCUGGCCACAACUGGCAUUAGCAUUCACUCUGAAAGCAAUAACAUUAGUAGCAUAAUUUCUGAGAAAGGAGAACCAUACAUACAUUAAAUAGACUGGUUGCAGUAUGUGCAUCGACCGCACUAAAUGGAUCAUCCAGGAGAUAUACAUCUGCAUCCUGAUAUAAUGCGCGUGCGAGUUGAACCCGUUGCUUUUGUCCACCACUCAGAUUAACACCUCUUUCUCCUAUUUCAGUGAGAUCACCAAAUGGAAGCAUCUCAAGGUCCUUCACUAGGGCACACUUCUCAAUAGCCUCUCUGUAUCUGUAAGGAUCCAUAGCUGACCCAAACAGAAUAUUUUCUUGUAUGGUCCCUGUUGGAAUCCAAGCUGUCUGAGAGACGUAAGCAAUCUUUCCAUAAACUCGAACCUGGAAAAGAUGGAUCCAGAAUUUGUAUUAAGACUUUAGUUGAGGUAAGUCUCCUAGAACCUUUUAGGGCUCAUGAAGUUGUCUACCUUCCCCAUUUUCCUCCAUGAUGUUAAUAUCUACCAAAUGAAGUGUGUAUAAAUCAGGAAUGAUGCAUUACUUCUUUCAGAUUUUAAGUUUGUUUUCUUUCGUAUUCCUACUUAGGAAACCAUGAAAGAAUGUAAAAAUUCAUGCCAGUUUGUUGUUAUUCAUUCCAGAACAACUGUGCACAAAGUAGCUGUUUAGUAUUUAUUCUAGUCCAUGGAUGAGGAAGAAAUGGAAUUGAAAGGGGUACUUACUAUGCCAUUAAUGUGUGGAACUUCUCCAAGAAUAGCAGCUAAUAGUGUUGAUUUACCUGAGCCAACCUCUCCACAAAUAGCUACCCUUUCCCCAGGCUUAACCACCAAAUUUAUGUUCCUUAGUGUAGCCCUUGUAGAGUUAUCCUCCCAUGAAAUUCUGUUGCUCUUGAUAAAAAUGGAUUCCUCCAGCUCCUUUCCAUCACACAUCUUCCUUACAUGUUUGUUCUGCAGCUCUGGUGCGUCAAGAAACUUUGCAAUCCGAUCUAACGAAACCUUGGCCUCAAUGAAUGCUGUAAUGACAUCAGGGAUUAACCUAAUUGGCUCCUGGGCAAUGCGUAAACUUGCCAUAAAUGUGAAAACAUUGCUAGCAGAGAGAGUAGUUCCAAUAAAGUAGCAUGCCGUGAAAGUAAUGGCUGAUACUACAAUGGGAGAUGACCAAAACAGAAUCAGACUGUACCCUUUCUGUGACAGAACUGACACUAACCACUUGAACUCCUCUUUCCUUAACCUUUCUAUGACAUUCUUGAAAUGAGUCUCCCAAGCGUACAGCUUCAGGCUUUUCAUGUUUGUAAGUGCCUCUGUGAAAGCCUUCAGCCUCUUGUCCUGAGUUCCCAUGAGCAUUUUCUGGUACUUGUGUUGUAACCUUCCCAUGGGAGAGUUUGCAACUACAGUCAAUAUUACUACAAACAGAGCUGCUAUAGUUGCAAGCCCCAACGAAUAGUAAAUAAUAAUCAAUGCCAGACACAACUGGAGGCUUGUUGACCAGAUCUGGUGAAACCAGUACGGGAAUUCACCUAUAUUGUAAGCAUCAAUAAUAACAAAGCUCACGAUCUGAGCAGGGGAAUACAACCCCUUUGCAGUGUUUGAGAGCUUAAGCUGCUUCUGAUAGAUGGCUGCAGAUAGAAACGAUCUCACUUGGAGCCCAAUCAAUCUAGUUCGAAAGAACCACUGCCUCUCUGAUAACGAUUCUAAGCAUUUAGUAAGGAAGAGCCCUCCCGUCAGUGCAUAACCUUCAUACUUAAAAGCUUCUUUGCCUUCAGCAACCAGGAUGAAGGCUCUAAGAAACAGAGGGCCAGUAGAAAGUGUUAGCACCUUCAUCAAUGCAAAGAAGCCAGAAAUCAAAAUCUGUUUCCACUGCCACAAUAAUAUAGUCGACAAAAUGGAAGGAGAGUCAGAUGACUGCUGUUUCUGCUUGUUCUGCUGUUCCAUGAACAUUAAGUAACACAUUUCCGCUCGAUCUUCCCUUCUUAGCUGUGGAAUGUCUUUGUCCUCGAGAGUUUUCUGCUUACCUUUCUUCAUCAACGAAUUCAACCACCAAAAUGACAUUCUACUAAUAAGCCCAGCUUUCUCAAAAGGGGGUAAGCUGGCAUCUGUAUUGAUUUUAUCACCAGCACUGCUUCCUUCACCUGGCAAAGGUCUAUAGAAGGCAGCACCAUCAAAUCCUGAAUCAGUUCCUGCAUAUUUUGGUCCCGUAAAAGUGCAGAACAUCAAUAGAAUCGCUCCAGGAAAAGAUAUAACAUCUAAAAUCACCUUAACUGAUACUGCAUCGCCCACAAUAGCUUCCCAGAAAGAUGUAACACAGGGAAAACCUGCGAUAAAGAAUGCAAGUACUGAACAGAGCCUCAGCCCUGCAUUAUGUAGAAGUUGAUGCCUCUUAAACCUCACAGCUAAACCCAGAAAAAACCAGGUGAAGCCUUGUAAUAAGACCACUAGCCAGCCAUGCAGAGGUAGAAUGGUGUUCUCUUCACUCAGCUUCUCUCCCACAAUCCAGAACCCCAAACCGAGAUAAACCAACCCUAAACUACCAUUAAGAAAGGCAGCAGAAUUUAGCAUUGUGGAAAAGCAUCUAGACUGUUGAGGGGAUAAGAUCUUCAUAGCUGAUGCUUUAUAUAUGAAGAUAAAUAAUAA